rnacentral:ncRNA from 1 species
UAAUGUUCUCAGGGCGGGGUGAAAGUCCCCACCGGCGGUAAGGGUUUCGACCCAAGCCCGCGAGCGCCUUCCGGCAAUCGGAGGGGUCAGCAGAUCCGGUGCAAUUCCGGGGCCGACGGUUACAGUCCGGAUGGAAGAGAACGAUC